CAAAGCAAAGCACUGAAAAUGCUUAGAUGGGUACUUAACCAUACCCCAUAAACA
rnacentral:tRNA from 1 species